CCAUCGGUGGUUCAGUGGUAGAAUGCUCGCCUGCCACGCGGGCAGAUUCGACUUCGACAGGUUCGGGCAGAUUCGACAGGUUCGAUUCCCGGCCGAUGCA